CCCUAUAUGUGCCAGAUAAGCUCAUCUUUAUCUGGGGAACAUGUAGAACUACGAUGAAGUAAAGGGAGAUGGAAGAAAAUAUAAUAGUUUAAGAGUAUGUCUUAUAAAAUAAUAGGUUUCAUAUUUGCCAAUGGCUGGUGAUCUCUGCAGACGGAGCCCUUGGUUUCAAGUAAAACACCUCAACCGUUUACAAGAAGGAAAGCUAUCCAUGGAAGGAGUGAUCUGCAAUUUACAUAUUCCAGGACUGAAAGUCUACAGUUGCUGAUAAAAUAUACAUCUCUGUACCAGGAAGAUGGAAUUUUGUUUGCUGGGGAAAGAAAACAGGGAGAAGAAAAUACGGUGCCUCAUGUACUGGUUCUUAAAGCCUCUGAUUGCAAGUGACACAUGUCAUUUCUGUUUCUACU